rnacentral:rRNA from 1 species
GGUCAAGCUACGAAGAGCGCAUGGUGAAUGCCUUGGCACUAGGAGCCGACGAAGGACGCGAUAAGCUGCGAUAAGCUUUGGGUAGGCGCAAAUAGCCAGUGAUCCAGAGAUUUCCGAAUGGGGCAACCCCUACAGUCAAAACUGUGGAUCGUGCACUGAAUAAAUAGGUGUACGAAGGUAACCCAGGGAACUGAAACAUCUAAGUACCUGGAGGAAGAGAAAGAAACAUCGAUUUCCUAAGUAGCGGCGAGCGAAAGGGAAAGAGCCCAAACCAGCUAUUUAUAGCUGGGGUUGAGGACAGUUCAUAAAUAAAAGCAGGAGUUAACUGAAGCGAGCUGGAAAGCUCCGCUAUAGAGUGUAAUAGCCACGUAAGUGAAAACGGAAGCUUUUAGAACUGAUCCAGAGUACCACGAGACACGUGAAACC